rnacentral:tRNA from 1 species
GGGUCGAUGCCCGAGUGGUUAAAGGGGGCGGAUUGUAAAUCCGCUGGUAUUUUUCCUACGCUGGUUCAAAUCCAGUUCGACCCA